GACGAACGCUGGCGGCGUGCUUAACACAUGCAAGUCGAACGAUGAAGCGGUGCUUGCACCGUGGAUUAGUGGCGAACGGGUGAGUAAUACGUGAGUGACCUACCUUUGACUCUGGGAUAAGCCUGGGAAACUGGGUCUAAUACCGGAUACGACCAAUCUCUGCAUGGGGUGUUGGUGGAAAGCGUUAUGGAGUGGUUUUAGAUGGGCUCACGGCCUAUCAGCUUGUUGGUGAGGUAAUGGCUUACCAAGGCGACGACGGGUAGCCGGCCUGAGAGGGUGACCGGCCACACUGGGACUGAGACACGGCCCAGACUCCUACGGGAGGCAGCAGUGGGGAAUAUUGCACAAUGGGCGCAAGCCUGAUGCAGCGACGCCGCGUGAGGGAUGACGGCCUUCGGGUUGUAAACCUCUGUUAGCAUCGAAGAAGCGAAAGUGACGGUAGGUGCAGAGAAAGCGCCGGCUAACUACGUGCCAGCAGCCGCGGUAAUACGUAGGGCGCGAGCGUUGUCCGGAAUUAUUGGGCGUAAAGAGCUUGUANGCGGUUGGUCGCGUCUGCUGUGAAGGCCGGGGCUUAACUCCGGUUUUGCAGUGGGUACGGGCUAACUAGAGUGCAGUAGGGGAGACUGGAAUUCCUGGUGUAGCGGUGGAAUGCACAGAUAUCAGGAGGAACACCGAUGGCGAAGGCAGGUCUCUGGGCUGUAACUGACGCUGAGAAGCGAAAGCAUGGGGAGCGAACAGGAUUAGAUACCCUGGUAGUCCAUGCCGUAAACGUUGGGCACUAGGUGUGGGGGACAUUCCACGUUUUCCGCGCCGUAGCUAACGCAUUAAGUGCCCCGCCUGGGGAGUACGGCCGCAAGGCUAAAACUCAAAGGAAUUGACGGGGGCCCGCACAAGCGGCGGAGCAUGCGGAUUAAUUCGAUGCAACGCGAAGAACCUUACCAAGGCUUGACAUGCAUUAGAUCGCGUCAGAGAUGGCGUUUCCCUUCGGGGCUGGUGUACAGGUGGUGCAUGGUUGUCGUCAGCUCGUGUCGUGAGAUGUUGGGUUAAGUCCCGCAACGAGCGCAACCCUCGUUCUAUGUUGCCAGCGGUUCGGCCGGGGACUCAUAGGAGACUGCCGGGGUCAACUCGGAGGAAGGUGGGGAUGACGUCAAAUCAUCAUGCCCCUUAUGUCUUGGGCUUCACGCAUGCUACAAUGGCCGGUACAGAGGGUUGCGAUACUGUGAGGUGGAGCUAAUCCCUUAAAGCCGGUCUCAGUUCGGAUUGGGGUCUGCAACUCGACCCCAUGAAGUCGGAGUCGCUAGUAAUCGCAGAUCAGCAACGCUGCGGUGAAUACGUUCCCGGGCCU
rnacentral:rRNA from 1 species